rnacentral:rRNA from 1 species
UACGAAGGGGGCUAGCGUUGCUCGGAAUCACUGGGCGUAAAGGGUGCGUAGGCGGGUCUUUAAGUCCGGGGUGAAAUCCUGGAGCUCAACUCCAGAACUGCCUUUGAUACUGAAGAUCUUGAGUUCGGGAGAGGUGAGUGGAACUGCGAGUGUAGAGGUGAAAUUCGUAGAUAUUCGCAAGAGCACCAGUGGCGAAGGCGGCUCACUGGCCCGAUACUGACGCUGAGGCACGAAAGCGUGGGGAGCAAACAGG